rnacentral:rRNA from 1 species
AGGACAAACGCUGGCGGCGUACCUAAGACAUGCAAGUCGAACGGGCGUGCGAGAGUCUUCGGGUUUGCAGUGAGUGGCGAACGGGUGAGUAACGCGUAGGAACCCGCCUCGACGUGGGGGAUACCACUUGGAAACAGGUGCUAAUACCGCAUGUGGUCGGAAGAAGAAAGGCUCGAGUAAUCGAGUCGCGUUGAGAGGGGCCUGCGUCCGAUUAGCUAGUUGGUAGGGUAAAGGCUUACCAAGGCGACGAUCGGUAGC